UGCAAACCUUUUGUCCUGCGGGUUUUAUCAUAAAUAAAAUUCGAAUUUCGUAUUAAAUAAUCGUCAUAUUCUAAAGCAUUACCUUUAAAUUUCUUGCAGAGGUUUUGCAGAUUCCAUGAGGCCAGCAAGCUGAGUGCCUCGCACAAAGGGGUUUUCGCUAGAAACGAUAAAAGAGUUAAUUGAAGCCUUCAUUUAUAACCGAAGACACUCCAAAAUGGGUAAGAAAAUAUCGAAAAGCGGCAAAGGAGAUCUUCAGUCACGUACAAGUGCUCCUAAAUGGGAUAAAGAGAAGAAAGUUGAAGCACCGCAUGUCUCCAAUCGUCCGUUAAUUCUUUGAAUUGGAUAACAGCGAAAACUUCUUGAAUUGUGGUAUCCGCCUUGGUUAAAUGCAAUAAUGAAGCAAAUGCACCUGACA